GACGAACGCUGGCGGCGUGCCUAAUACAUGCAAGUUGAGCGAUGAAGAUUGGUGCUUGCCCCAAUUUGAAGAGCAGCGAACGGGUGAGUAACGCGUGGGGAAUCUGCCUUUGAGCGGGGGACAACAUUUGGAAACGAAUGCUAAUACCGCAUAACAACUUUAAACAUAAGUUUUAAGUUUGAAAGAUGCAAUUGCAUCACUCAAAGAUGAUCCCGCGUUGUAUUAGCUAGUUGGUGAGGUAAAGGCUCACCAAGGCGAUGAUACAUAGCCGACCUGAGAGGGUGAUCGGCCACAUUGGGACUGAGACACGGCCCAAACUCCUACGGGAGGCAGCAGUAGGGAAUCUUCGGCAAUGGACGAAAGUCUGACCGAGCAACGCCGCGUGAGUGAAGAAGGUUUUCGGAUCGUAAAACUCUGUUGGUAGAGAAGAACGUUGGUGAGAGCGGAAAGCUCAUCAAGUGACGGUAACUACCCAGAAAGGGACGGCUAACUACGUG
rnacentral:rRNA from 1 species